rnacentral:tRNA from 1 species
UUGUUUAAGGUGUUAUUUAGCACAUUGUUUUUCCACAACAAAAGUCCUAAGAAGGUAAACAAA